rnacentral:rRNA from 1 species
UGGGGAAUAUUGGACAAUGGGCGAAAGCCUGAUCCAGCCAUGCCGCGUGUGUGAAGAAGGCCUUUUGGUUGUAAAGCACUUUAAGUGGGGAGGAAAAGCUUAUGGUUAAUACCCAUAAGCCCUGACGUUACCCACAGAAUAAGCACCGGCUAACUCUGUGCCAGCAGCCGCGGUAAUACAGAGGGUGCAAGCGUUAAUCGGAAUUACUGGGCGUAAAGCGCGCGUAGGUGGUUAUUUAAGUCAGAUGUGAAAGCCCCGGGCUUAACCUGGGAACUGCAUCUGAUACUGGAUAACUAGAGUAGGUGAGAGGGGAGUAGAAUUCCAGGUGUAGCGGUGAAAUGCGUAGAGAUCUGGAGGAAUACCGAUGGCGAAGGCAGCUCCCUGGCAUCAUACUGACACUGAGGUGCGAAAGCGUGGGUAGCAAACAGGAGUGGAUACCCUGGUAGUCCACGCCGUAAACGAUGUCUACCAGUCGUUGGGUCUUUUAAAGACUUAGUGACGCAGUUAACGCAAUAAGUAGACCGCCUGGGGAGUACGGCCGCAAGGUUA